rnacentral:miRNA from 14 species
ACCUGAAAGUGAAAGAUCCCCGGAGCAGGGAGACCCUCACUCAAGUCUCGGGACGAUGCGAUCCCCCAGGAACUCAUGUGAGGCC